AUUGAACGCUGGCGGCAUGCUUUACACAUGCAAGUCGAACGGCAGCGCGGGCUUCGGCCUGGCGGCGAGUGGCGAACGGGUGAGUAAUACAUCGGAACGUGCCCAGUAGUGGGGGAUAGCUCGGCGAAAGCCGGAUUAAUACCGCAUACGACCUGAGGGUGAAAGCGGGGGAUCUUCAGACCUCGCGCUAUUGGAGCGGCCGAUGGCAGAUUAGCUAGUUGGUGGGGUAAAGGCCUACCAAGGCGACGAUCUGUAGCUGGUCUGAGAGGACGACCAGCCACACUGGGACUGAGACACGGCCCAGACUCCUACGGGAGGCAGCAGUGGGGAAUUUUGGACAAUGGGCGAAAGCCUGAUCCAGCAAUGCCGCGUGUGUGAUGAAGGCCUUCGGGUUGUAAAGCACUUUUGGCGGGAACGAAAAGGACUGUGCCAAUACCACGGUUCGAUGACGGUACCCGCAGAAUAAGCACCGGCUAACUACGUG
rnacentral:rRNA from 1 species